rnacentral:rRNA from 1 species
GUGGGGAAUCUUCCGCAAUGGACGAAAGUCUGACGGAGCAACGCCGCGUGAACGAUGACGGCCUUCGGGUUGUAAAGUUCUGUUAUACGGGACGAAUGGUACGACGGCCAAUACCCGUCGUAAGUGACGGUACCGUAAGAGAAAGCCACGGCUAACUACGUGCCAGCAGCCGCGGUAAUACGUAGGUGGCAAGCGUUGUCCGGAAUUAUUGGGCGUAAAGGUCGCGCAGGCGGCGUCGUAAGUCGGUCUUAAAAGUGCGGGGCUUAACCCCGUGAGGGGACCGAAACUGCGAUGCUAGAGUAUCGGAGAGGAAAGCGGAAUUCCUAGUGUAGCGGUGAAAUGCGUAGAUAUUAGGAGGAACACCAGUGGCGAAAGCGGCUUUCUGGACGACAACUGACGCUGAGGCGCGAAAGCCAGGGGAGCAAACGGGAUUAGAAACCCUGGUAGUCC